AUAAAAAUUGAGAAUUUGUUUCUCCCAAAUCUGGGAAUUAGUUUCCUUCAGCUUAUAGAAUUUGUUUCUCUUCUUCAAAAUCCCCUCAAUACCUAUUGGUUCUACAUUACCAAUGAUAUUAAUGAUCUCAAUAGCAACUGAUAUCUCCAUACUGAUAGAGAUAUUAUAGGCAGUUACUUCUUCCAUGUGGAUGGGAAGUAAACCUCUUCUGAAAUCUAUGCAUCCUUCCCGUCAAGCACUUCAACUUGUAUUGACUAAAUGUCUAUCUGUAGACUCCACAUUGAACAAUAAUCCUUACCAGAGGAAUUGCUCUCAAAAACCCUCUCUUGAGCUGCAUCUGCUUUCUUCUUCUGGAACAAAGAACAGUUCCCUAAGCAUGCUUCCUCCUCUGGAUGUUUAUCAAGAUAGGUAUGCAAUCCAUCAAUCAGCAAUAUUUCAGUUGACCAGCUGGAAAGCCAAUAUUUGCUUCUGAGCUAAAUUGUCAAGGGCUAUGUAGUAAACUAGAAAAUCCUGCCAGGUACAAAUUUACAUGGAUCACAUUAUUUGUUAAUGUAGUCUGACAACAAGAAAUGAUGCAUCAUUACUAAUUCAAAAAAGAACAAAUAUAGGCUUUUCUGCUGUGAAAUAAGGUCAAAUGCCCCACGUUGUGUUCCUGCAUAUGAAUUCUCUUGUCCCAGCUAGUUGGAUUGUGUACAUACCCACCCUUAUUUGGCUUUCUAAAUUUAUCAAUUUAGCUUUGAAUGCAAACAAGGAGGUCCUGUUCUGUACCAGGUAAAUAAAAGAUGUAGGUUUCUUCUUGAUUUUGAGCAACAAGUCAAACACAGUAUUGAAAAUUUGAAACCAAAUGAUGACCCUUAUGGAGGCCAAGAUGUAGAUGCAUCUUCACUCGGAUGGGCAAUGUCAGCUGUUUCAUCUAGGGCAUUUCGUUUAUAUGGGAAAAAGCUCCCCAAUGGAACCUAUAAUGAUGUCCCCAUGAUGCUUCCUCUCAUUGAUAUGUGCAAUCAUAGCUUCAAUCCAAAUGCACAAAUUUUGCAAGAACAAGAUCCAAGGAACUCAAAAAUGCUUAUAAAGGUUGUGGCAGAGACACCAGUUAAACAAGAAAAUCCUAUACUACUUAAUUAUGGAUGUUUAAACAAUGAUCUUUUCCUAUUGGAUUAUGGAUUUGUGAUACCUUCAAACCCUUAUGAUUGCAUUGAGCUCAGAUAUGAUGGAGCUCUUCUUGAUGCCGCAAGUAUUGCUGCUGGGGUAUCUUCACCUAACUUCUCUUCACCAACUUCAUGGCAACAACAAAUUCUAUCCCAGCUAAAUUUGGAUGGAGAAGCUCCUGUUCUCAAGGUAACCUUGGGAGGUCAGGAACUAAUAGAGGGACGCCUGUUGGCCGCCCUCAGAGUACUGCUUACAAGUGACAUGGAAACAGUUCAAAAACAUGAUUUGGACACUCUCAAAUCAUUAUCAGCUAAUGCUCCUCUUGGAAUUGCUAAUGAAGUGGCUGCUUUUCGUACAGUUAUUGCACUCUGUGUGAUUGCACUGGGACACUUCCCCACCAAAAUAAUGGAUGAUGAAUCCCUGUUGAAACAGGGUGUUUCAACCUCAACUGAAUUGGCUAUCCAAUUCAGAAUCCAGAAGAAAUCUGUAAUUAUAGACGUUAUGAGAGAUCUCACUAAAAGGGUAAAGUCAUUGCUGGCAAAGGAUAUGACCACUGCUCAAAUCUAAUAGAAGUGGACUAUUUUUUAGUAUGACUUGUUCAAUAUUCUUGGUCCUACAGUCACGAUCUCACCAUUUAUGUUGCAUCCCUCCAUAAUUUCUCUACUUCUUGCAAAUUUUUGGCAUAUUGUCGAUGCCUCUUCUGUCAGUGUUGGUUCAGUGUUGGUUCUAUUUGAGAUUAUAAUCAAGUUUUAUUGCAUGGAUUCUUAUCUCUA
rnacentral:misc_RNA from 1 species